rnacentral:rRNA from 1 species
AGCGUAGGCGGCAUGAUAAGUUAGAUGUGAAAGCCCGGGGCUUAACCCCGAGGAUUGCAUUUAAAACUAUCAAGCUAGAGUACAGGAGAGGAAAGCGGAAUUCCUAGUGUAGCGGUGAAAUGCGUAGAUAUUAGGAAGAACACCAGUGGCGAAGGCGGCUUUCUGGACUGAAACUGACGCUGAGGCUCGAAAGCGUGGGGAGCGAACAG